rnacentral:lncRNA from 1 species
AUGUAUGUUUUUUAUUUGCAGCGACCAAAAAAGGAAACUGAGGUUGCUGGCACUGGGGGAGGGCUACCACCAGCCUGCUUCACUCCUGCAGAGGAGCUGGCUUUGGAAAUUAAUAAAGGGAGGCCCGUCCUUGAGGGAAUAGAAGUGGGGACAUCAUCUAAAAUGAUAUCACGUAGUAUAAGGAGUGAGUAUAUAAAAGAUUCUGUAUGCUUUAUGGAUCCACCAGACAUCAUGUUGCCUGGAGAAGGCCCAUCAGUUGAGGAGGAUGAAGAGACUGUGUCUGUAUGUUCAAGGGGGCCUGAGGAUGCUGAGUUCUAG